rnacentral:rRNA from 1 species
GAUGAACGCUGGCGGCGUGCCUAAUACAUGCAAGUCGAGCGAACAGAUGAGGAGCUUGCUCCUCUGACGUUAGCGGCGGACGGGUGAGUAACACGUGGAUAACCUACCUAUAAGACUGGGAUAACUUCGGGAAACCGGAGCUAAUACCGGAUAAUAUAUUGAACCGCAUGGUUCAAUAGUGAAAGACGGUUUUGCUGUCACUUAUAGGUGGAUCCGCGCCGCAUUAGCUAGUUGGUAAGGUAACGGCUUACCAAGGCAACGAUGCGUAGCCGACCUGAGAGGGUGAUCGGCCACACUGGAACUGAGACACGGUCCAGACUCCUACGGGAGGCAGCAGUAGGGAAUCUGCCGCAAUGGGCGAAAGCCUGACGGAGCAACGCCGCGUGAGUGAUGAAGGUCUUCGGAUCGUAAAACGCUGUUAUUAGGGAAGAACAAAUGUGUAAGUAACUAUGCACGUCCUGACGUGACCUAAUCAGAAAGCCACGGCUAACUGCGU